UGGUUCCAGACCGCGAGGGCUUCAUCCGUGAAGUGGAAUUACAACGCAGCCUCUGUUGAAACGGGCUGUGAUGGCUGUGGGCAGUUGAGUAGGAAAGCACCAAGAGCCAGGGGCUUAGCUUGGGUCAAUAAACGACAGCCGACUGGCUAGGAGAAAGCCAGCAUUGUGAGGGUCCAACGGCAGUCGGCCGCGGGAGAGCCACAACUGGAACGGGAUCCUGUCAGAGCAGUGUGUCAUAUUUGUUCUGGCAGCUUCUUUGGUAAAGCCACGCUAAGCUCCAUCUGGGAUACUGUCAGGCCCGACUCAAACAAUUGUUUAUAAAGUGGGCAAAAUCGGGCUUUAGCAGUCGGCCCUCCAGCCACCACAGCUCUCCUUUUCUCCUGGAGGUAAAGCUGCCAGACUUCUCCUGGAGCAGCACAGACAGCAGUUACGGUGAAGGUUCCAGAAUUCAAGGGCCUUCGUUUGAAAUGGAGCUUCGCCGCCAUUGAGUUCAUUUCCUGGGAACCUUACUGUGUCCCAUGACAGAAGCCCACAUGGUGAUGCCUUACAAAUUAAGAACUCACCUUUCUUCAGUUCUGCAUGAAGAGGAGAUGGUCCAGAGGAUGUGGCAAUGAUACAGAUACAACCAGAGAAGAAGUUGGUGUUCUUUUCUAAACCAUGGUAAAAAUAACAGGACAUCAUGUAGGAUGAGCGAGUACCAGAAGUUUAGAGGGUGAUGUCCAAGAAAUAAAAGAAUGCUCCAGGAGUCUGAGAUGAAUUCUCCACAGAUCCUUACCCGUCUGGAAGAUUAUGUAUGCCUGGGGGAGUCUCAAAAGAACCGAGGAAACGUAAACAUGAAGGAGGAUUGAGAAAAGGCUGCAAUGUUCUCUGUCCCUCAUACAGACCUAGAGGAAAAUUAUGGCAACCUGGCUGGUCCUGGGCCAGUGCUGUUCCCUUGGCUCUAUACAUCUAAGGCAUCGAAGACUCCCAAGGAUACGGAGUGACUCUGGGUAUCAGCUUAGCACAUGUUAUUUUAGGUGUUUCAACAGUGACACCAUUGAGGUAGUGUGGCUUAGUGAAGGAAUGUGGGCUUGGACGGGAUAGAAUGGGGUUGUCAUUCCACAGUUAUAAGUUAAUAUUCUUAUUAACUUGGGCAAUCAUGUGACUACUCAGUAUCCUAUUUAAAUCUUAUAAAUGCCCACUGAAGUAGGCAUGGACUACUUCUGUGUUGUGGAUACUUUUUAAGUCUGCGGAAUAGUUAUUUUGGGUGAUGAUUAAAAAGUCAUAAUGGCUAUAAAGUAUGUGUCACAUGAUAGGUGACCUAUAAAUAGCUGUAUUGUUGCUGUUAGUCCUGGUGUAGAAAAGAACUGUCAGACCGAUAAGCCCAGAGAAUUUAACCUCUCAGAGAGUCACACGGAAAAACACUGGAUAUUAAUAGUAUAGGUGAAGCAACUACACUGUCUGUAAGUGUCCAACCUUGGCUUUAACAAAUGACUAUAAAGUUUAUGGCUUAAGACAAUGUAACUCAUUUCUUCAUAGUGCUCCAGGUAUAGUAUAGUCCAUCAGGGCUUUCUGCCUCUAGUCUCUGAUGCCUAAAAUGAAAGUAUGGGCAAAGUGAGAUGCUUUUAGUCUCAUUGAAGCUGUUAUCUGAAUUAAGUUCCUGGCAAGUUGUAGGACUGGAGCUCCUGUUUAUUUGGUGGCUGCCAGGCAGAGGGUGAUCCUCCAAGUGGCUGCUUGGAUCCUUCUUAUGUACGUCACAGUUUAUAUCUUUUGCCCUCUGAGUCUCUUCUUGCUCGGAAUUUCCCCAUCUUUUCCUUUGUCUGAAUCUCUCUGCCACAUUAGGUUCACUGGAUAACUGAAGGUGAUCUUUGUGUUUUAUUGACCAUUGCCUUAUUCAUAUCUGCACAAAGACUCCUGAUCACAGUCUAGGGGUUAGGGUACAGACACAUUUGAAGGGGACAGUCUGCCUCCCAGAUUCCCUGAGGGAUGUGCAGCAAAGACAAAGCCACACCCAGAUGAAACUUAGAGCAGUGAGAAUUUGGGGGUGUGAAAGUAUGCAUAUGGGGCUAGCAGGCUGUCCCCAGAGCACCUCUGAAGGUCUAGCAGGCUAUCUCCAGAGCACCUCUGAGGGGCUAUGUGGGGCAUUGAGCUAUGCAUAUACAAGCUGGUCUCCAGUUGAGCUGAGGUCUGAACCCUGGAAAUGGUGAUAAUUCACCUUCAUGACACGGUAGGCAUUCCCUCAUGCUCCUGGAACUCUGGCCCCUGCCUAAGUUAUCGCCCCCCACAGCCCCCACAAGAGAAGCAUGGUCAGUAGUCACAUAGGCAAUGGCCCAAGCUUCUGACCUUCAGGCUAAACUCCUCCCCAGUUAUCUAGCAACAGUAUAGACCAUAAAAAGGGCUGUUCAGCCCCACCUUGCUCUCUUACCUCUUACUUGUCUCUCUUACUCCUUUGUUCUCUUACCUCUCACUUCUCUCUUCUUUUUCCUUUCUCUUUGUCUUCUCUCCUCUCUCCCUCUUACUCUCUUUCUCUCUAGCCUUUCCCCCUCUCUCUUUCUACCUUCUCUCUUUCCCCCUGCGUUUCUAUAAUAAAGCUCUAAAACCAUAGAAUGUCUCUGCUCAUCAAGGCCCACUGUGCUUGGAGGAUGGGACAGGCUUUCUCCUAAUGAGCCGUUUCUAAUCUCCCAUUAGAAGGCCUUCCUGUGCUCCAGUGAAGAUCCGCUGCACUCACUCUCACCAGUGUUGGGAACCUCUUCCCUCAUCCCUCUCUCUAUAACCCUGG
rnacentral:lncRNA from 1 species